GUCCAUGACCAUAUCACUAGGAAUGCACCUGAUCUCAUCUGGUCUUGGGAGCUAAGCAGGGUCAGGCCUAGUUAGUACUUGGAUAAGGUGACCAGAUGUCCUGCUUU
ensembl:rRNA 5S_rRNA 5S ribosomal RNA